GUGCCAGCAGCCGCGGUAAUACGUAGGGGCCGAGCGUUGUCCGGAGUUACUGGGCGUAAAGCGUGCGCAGGCGGCGCGUUCUGCCCGGCGUGAAAGCCCCCGGCUCAACCGGGGAACGUCGUCGGGGACGGGCGCGCUUGAGGGCGGCAGGGGCUGGUGGAAUUCCCGGUGUAGUGGUGAAAUGCGUAGAGAUCGGGAGGAACACCUGUGGCGAAGGCGGCCAGCUGGGCCGACCCUGACGCUGAGGCACGAAGGCGUGGGGAGCGAACGGGAUUAGAUACCCUCGUAGUCC
rnacentral:rRNA from 1 species